rnacentral:lncRNA from 1 species
UAAAUUUAAUAUUUAAGCCUUUACAUUGGCUAACCAAUAACACAUAUAACAAAAUAACCAAAAGUUCUAUACAUGCCAUUAAACAAAAUAAAUAUAUAUACAUACCAAAGCGGGACAAGUUGAAAAUGUGUUGAUUCUCCAACCGUCUUCCAAUCUUCACGAGUCCACGAGCUCUAUAAGAUAAGGAAAAGAGAAGGGAGUAAGCAUAAAUAUGCUUAGUUAGUUCGGAU